rnacentral:lncRNA from 1 species
UCUCACUGCAGUUCCCUGCUUGCAAGAGCGCAAGGAAGAGGGACAUGCUUUAGAAUGACCAGAGAGCAGCUCCAUGGCACUUUUUAUUGAGGAGGCUCCCCUCCUCAUUGGCCACAUGACUUGUCUGUCCACGACAGACACUGUGUGAUUGGAUCAACCCGUAGUGAAUUGCUUACUCAACGAAUUCCCAUUGUGAGACACCUCUAUUAUCAGAGAACUGGGGUUACGCAAGUAACCUUAAGUUUUAAAAGUGUCGUGACCAGUUCUAUCUCUGUGUUCUUUAUUCUAACAGAAAGUGGACUGUUCAUUUGAUCUUUGCUUUGGCUGGUCUUGCUCUCUCAGACCACGUUACUGAUGGAGAUACCAGCGUGGAAACCACAGGCACUCCUGAUGCCCCUGACGCCCCAGGUGAGGCCAAGGAGUAAAAUAAACAAAGGCAAGUUCUGCAUGCUGUGCUGUACUGAAGACUGUAUCGAGGAAAGCAGCCAUGUAGGGAGCCAAGGUUGUUGGAUGCCCUGUAUGGAGGCAUGUUGGAAGGAAUGUAUGGAGCCCUAUAUGGAUCUCUGUAUGGAGCCCUGUACACAGGAUUCGUCGAAGGUGUGCAACAGUAAGGGGGACAUUAAUGAGGACAGUAAGGGGGAUGGUAAGGGGGACGGUAAGGGGGACGGUAAGGGAGACGGUAAGGGAGGCAGUAAGGGAGACGGUAAGAAGGACAGUAACGAGGACACUAAGAGGGACGGUAAGGGGGACGGUAAGGGAGGCGGUAAGGGGGACGGUAAGGGGGACGGUAAGGGAGGCAGUAAGGAGGACAGUAAGGGAGACGGUAAGAAGGACAGUAAGGGGGACGGUAAGGGAGGCGGUAAGGAAGGCAGUAAGGAGGACGGUAAGGGAGGCAGUAAGGAGGACAGUAAGGGAGGCGGUAAGGAAGGCAGUAAGGAGGACGGUAAGGGAGGCAGUAAGGAGGACAUUAAUGAGGACAGUAAGGGAGACGGUAAGAAGGACAGUAAGGAGGACGGUAAGGGAGGCGGUAAGGAAGGCAGUAAGGAGGACGGUAAGGGAGGCAGUAAGGAGGACAGUAAGGGAGGCGGUAAGGAAGGCAGUAAGGAGGACGGUAAGGGAGGCAGUAAGGAGGACAUUAAUGAGGACAGUAAGGGGGACGGUAAGGGGGACGGUAAGGGAGACGGUAAGGGAGGCAGUAAGGGAGACGGUAAGAAGGACAGUAACGAGGACGGUAAGAGGGACGGUAAGGGGGACGUAAGGGAGACAGUAAGGGGGACAGUAAGGAGGACAGUAAGGGGGUUAGUAAGGGAGACAGUAAGGGGGGACAUAAGAGGGACGGUAAGGAAGUCGAUAAGGGAGACAGUAAGGGGGACAGUAAGGAGGUUAGUAAGGGAGACAGUAAGGGGGACAGUAAGGGGGUUAGUAAGGGAGACAGUAAGGGGGACAGUAAGGAGGACAGUAAGAGGGACGGUAAGGAAGUCGAUAAGGGAGACAAUAAGGGGGACAGUAAGGGGGUUACUAAGGGAGACAGUAAGGGGGAUAGUAAGGGAGCCGGUAAGGAAGUCGAUAAGGGAGACAGUAAGGGGGAAAGAAAAAGACAGUAAGUGUGAGUGUAGUCUAACGUUCCUUAACCCUCUCUUGGUCCUCAAAAUGGGGAAGGUGUCUACAGAGAUACAAUUGAAUUAUUAUGCUGUUUUGAUGUACAUAACAUUUUUGCCCACUUUUUGACUGUUUUCUUGUUGUUUUUAAUUUCCUGAUGUUUUGAGAUCCUCUCUAGUGUUUACAGAACAUAAGGGUCUGAUUGGUGAAAUCAAUGCUAGCAGUAAUAUACAGAAUGACAAUGUAUGAGAAGAAAUGUGUCCAAUUCCAAUGAUAAUGAGUACAUGAUGCGUGAGAUGUUCAUUAAAGAAUCAUUUCUGUGAUGUGGAUUUUUGCCACUCUGCACAACCUGACUCCAGGGCUAUGCCUCUCCCCCUUCAGAAGAAGGCCUCUGUCAGGUUUAUUAUGGGUUUUAUGGUAUAAAAUCAUGUUUUAUAAUGAACUUCACUGCCUUAGUUUGAGUAUUUUGAUUUCUCGAUCUCUUUGUUUUAAGGUACUUAUUAUGUUGCAUUUAUUCAAUAUAAUCACACAUGAGAAUCAAAGUUGUAACACUUAAGAUAAGAACGAUUGACAGGUAACAUGUUUUUUGUUUAUGGUUGUUUAUUGAUUGUUUAUGCUGUUCAGGUUUUCCCCUUCUGCUAUACAAAGAAUGUUAUGCCUGUUCAGUGCAUUUACCUUCCUCUAGUCAUUUCCUGGGGAAGGAGUUUUGGUUCAUGGAAGACUGUUCGCUCUCCCACCGCCUGAUGUGCCCCGUUACAGUGAUGGAUGAAGAGGCACGUCUGUUAAUCCACUAAAGAAAAGUAUGGAAUGUUGGAUUCAAAAUUCUGGGUGCCCCUUAAAUUUGCUUAACCUCUCUUAGGUCAGGAGUCUUCUUCUCAAAACCCAUUGGAGGAAAAGCUCAGAGGGGAGGUAUCUCUGGCUUUCUCAUCCAAUGGGUUUUGUGAAGGAGAUGAGGAGAGAGAGGAGAGGACAUGAGGAGUGUGCAAUUGAGAUCUUCCCAAUGGAUCCUAGCUGACCCUCCUGAGUUCAAAGGCCAAUGGCUGUAAUUCAGCUAUAGGUAGUUUCAAGUGAUAGAUAUAUCUAAUAUACGGUCUUCUCUGACCAAGAGGGUGGACAACAUUGACUAAAUGUUUUGACCAGCGUCUAGGUACUUGGAGAGAAAGCAGUGAUAGGAUGACUUUGUAAUGAUGGUUUUGUCCUUCAAUUGUUGGCAUAUUGUUAUGACCCUUCCAAGGAACUUGCCUGUUUCCCCCUUAUGCAUAUUUGUCUAGUAAACAUUUUAAAAUAUAGAACCUGUUUGCCUUAUCCUUGUAUCCGGCAUUUUCCAAACCUUGAACAAAUAAAUUAUUCUCAACAAUCUCAAAGAUAGUUUAAUAUUUGAUCAUGGAGAAUCAAACUUAGGUUUUGUUAAAGACAGUUUAUUUAAGUUGUGACAUAAUCAUUAUACAAGUUACACUCCUGUCCUUUCAAUUAGCGGGUUGAUAAAAUGGUCACUAUUUUCCCUUACAAUGCCCUUAAGAAAACCAGCUGGCCCAGUGAAAUGACUGUGUUUUAUUUAUACACAGAGUAUAUCAAAUCAUUUAGGAACCCCUCCCCCUUACUUUUUCCCUCAG